ACGAUGUUCCAGGUUAUCCUCAACCAGAGCAUCGCUUUGGUUCGCCUUAAUAAAGACUUCACUUCCAUCCAGCACGAGAUGGUUCAAGUGCUCAUCUCUAAGCUCAAACCAUUUAUAAGCUUUUUUUCUCGAAGAAAAGAAGAGAGGAACAAAAGCAACCUUAUUAUUUUGGAACGUGAAGAAAACGUCCCUAAGAUUGAGGGUACUCCUUACCAGAAGCUGUUUAACCGGCACAUCCUACAACAGCGCAUAAUUAAUACCGAUGGACAUGUACGGUCGAGUCCGAGCUGCUAGAGUACAUCACCAUGUGAAGAACGACAGCGAGUGGAUCAGGGCCAUGACAGUGAAUGUUUUUUGUAUAAGAAAGAAUCUCCCAUCAUGCGUUGUGCGUUCGGAGACACGAAUGUUUGCUCAUUUCGUGCUCAACACCGCCUGUUAUAUCAUAUAUCCACAGUGGCACACUGCAUUGUUUUAUUUGCACUCAGAUGUACUGACUUUCGUGUGGCACACUGCAUCGUUUUAUUUGCACUCAGAUGUACUGACUUUCGUGUGGCACACUGCAUCGUUUUAUUUGCACUCAGAUGUACUGACUUUCGUUAGGACAUGAAACAUUUAUGGCGUCAUGAGAGAACAAAUAUCUGCGGUUCAAAUCGGACAAAGUCCCUCUUGUAUUUGCAUAUAUACAUA